UACGGAGGGUGCAAGCGUUAUCCGGAUUCACUGGGUUUAAAGGGUGCGUAGGUGGGCAGGUAAGUCAGUGGUGAAAUCUCUGGGCUUAACCCAGAAACUGCCGUUGAUACUAUCUGUCUUGAAUAUAGUGGAGGUGAGCGGAAUAUGUCAUGUAGCGGUGAAAUGCUUAGAUAUGACAUAGAACACCCAUUGCGAAGGCAGCUCGCUACACUAUUAUUGACGCUGAGGCACGAAAGCGUGGGGAUCAAACAGG
rnacentral:rRNA from 1 species